rnacentral:rRNA from 1 species
UACAGAGGGGGCAAGCGUUGUUCGGAAUUACUGGGCGUAAAGGGCGCGUAGGCGGCCUGUUAAGUCGAACGUGAAAUCCCCGGGCUCAACCCGGGAACUGCGUCCGAUACUGGCAGGCUUGAAUCCGGGAGAGGGAUGCGGAAUUCCAGGUGUAGCGGUGAAAUGCGUAGAUAUCGGGAGGAACAUCGAUGGCGAAAGCAACCGUCUGGGCCUGAACUGACACUGAGACACGAAAGCGUGGGGAGCAAACAGG